GAUGAAGAACGCAGCGAAAUGCGAUAAGUAAUGUGAAUUGCAGAAUUCAGUGAAUCAUCGAAUCUUUGAACGCACAUUGCGCCCGCCAGUAUUCUGGCGGGCAUGCCUGUUCGAGCGUCAUUACAACCCUCAGGCCCCCGGGCCUGGCGUUGGGGAUCGGCGGAGCCCCCCGUGGGCACACGCCGUCCCCCAAAUGCAGUGGCGGUCCCGCCGCAGCUUCCAUCGCGUAGUAGCUAACACCUCGCGACUGGAGAGCGGCGCGGCCACGCCGUAAAACACCCAACUCUUCUGAAGUUGACCUCGAAUCAGGUAGGAAUACCCGCUGAACUUAAGCAUAUCAAUAAGCGAAGGA
rnacentral:misc_RNA from 1 species